CUAACACACACACUAACUCUUACAUACACACACACACUAACUCUUACACACACACACUAACUCUUACACACACACACACACUAACUCUUACACACACACACUAACUCUUACAUACACACACUGGUUCUAACACACACACAUUAACACACACACACACACACAUACACUGGCUCUAACACACACACUAACUCUUACAUACACACACACACUAACUCUUACACACACACACACACACACACUAACUCUUACAUACACACACUGGCUCUAACACACACACAUUAACACACAC
rnacentral:lncRNA from 1 species